UGGGAUGUAGCUCAGAGGUAGAGCACUUGCUUAACAUGCAAAUGACCCAAGGUUUAAUCCUGAGCAGCACAA
rnacentral:tRNA from 1 species